GCGAGGAUUGCCGAGCCAGGUCAAAGGCGACGGAUUUAGGGUCCGUUCCCGAAGGGGUCCGGGUGUUCAAAUCACCCUCCUCGCA
rnacentral:tRNA from 2 species